rnacentral:tRNA from 2 species
AGAGACUUAGGCUAGUACAAGACCAAGGGCCUUCAAAGCCCUAAGCGAAGGUGAAAAUCCCUCAGUCCCUG